AAUCUAAUUGUAUUUUCUGCCUCAAGGGACUGAGAAGCUCCCAAUAAAAUUUUCCUGAGUGUGUCUCCCGGCACCAGCUGAUGGAAGUGAUGUGACUGGUGGGACUGAGACAGCCUAGGGCUCAGAGCAGAUGGUAGUCUGAGACGGACAGAAUGAGAGGGAGCAGGAGAAAGAAGUGAAUAAAUAAGAAUGCCUCUGGAGAAUGAGGCAUCUUGGAAUCUGGAAAGUGAGGCAUCCUGGAAGAGAGACGAAAAUGGAGUCUCUCUCUGUUGCCCAGGCUGGAAUGCAAGGGCAUGAUGUCGGCUCACUGCAAACGCCACCUCCUGGGCUCAGGUGAUUCUCCUGUCUCAGCCUCCAAAAUAGCUAGGAUUACAGGUUCAAGCUACAAGAUGUCCAGAAACAAAUGCAAAGAGGAAGUAAUGAAAUGAAAAUGUGCAAAAGUCAUCAAGAUUCUUAUUUGAUUACAGCAAAUAUUUGGCAAGUUGGAAGUAUGCUAUACCUUCUAUACCUAUAAUGUGCCAGAAAUAACUAAACACUUUAUAUUUCUCUUUAAAUCCAGUAAAAUCCAUUAAAGAAAUAAAGACCCCAAUAUGCAGGCAAGUAAAUCAAUUGUCAAGUAUACAAGCUAAUAAAUUUCCCAGGAUGAAUUUAGAUUUUUUUAUUUCAAGCAAAAUUUACAAAAAGUUAAAUGCAUAGAUCUUCAGUGUACAAUGAGUUUAGCAACUAUAUACAUCUAUGUAAACAACACUACUAUCAAAAUGAGGAAUGUUUUUAUCACCUAGAAAAUUACCUCAUGUCCCCUUCUAGUCAAUUCACUCACCACAGGCAACAACAAUGGUUCUGAUUUCUAUCACCAUGCACUAGACCUUCACAUCUUAGGACAUCAUAUAGUGCUUUCUCAUUCGUUUCUUGCUAGUUUGUGCAGUAUCAUUUUUUUAAAAAAAUCCAUUCAUAUGGUUCCAUGUUAUUAGUAAUUUGUUACUUUGAUGUAGCUGAGGAAUAUUCCAUUAUAUGAAUAUACCACAAUUUACGUACCCAUUGUGCUCUUGACAUUGGAUAUUGUUAGUAAAGCCUUUGGCUAUCAGUAAAGCUGCUAUAAACAUGCUCCAGUCUUGUAGGAACAUUUUCAUUUCUCGUAGGUAAAUACUUAGGGAUGGAAUUUCUGAGUCAUGGCAGAGGUAUGUGGUUAACUUCAUGAAAAUUAUCAAGGCGUUUUCCAAACUGGCUGUUCUAUUACCUACUUCCCCUGAAUAAAAUCUGGGAGGUCCACUUACUCCACAUCCUCAGCAACAUCUGUUAUUGCUGCAACAAAGUGGUGCAAUAUUUUAUUUUUAUUUUAGUUUACAUUUCUCUGAUGACUAAUGAUAUGAGGCAAGUUUUCAUGUGCAAUUCACCGUUUUUUUUUGAAAUGUCCAAAACUUUCUUUCAGUUGUAAAAAA